rnacentral:lncRNA from 1 species
GUGGAGCGCGCAGGCGGUGCUGACGAUUCCGCCGGUGCAAGCUUAGCUCCCACACCAUCAGUACUGCUGCAACAAAGCACAUCUCCCACCGCAGUGACACUACCCAUCAAUUGUCACACGUGCCGUGCUAGCUACCGGCCUGUACGGAUGCAGGGGGGGCCCGCCCUUUUUCCGGCUUCGAGGAAGCCGACACCCGACUUGUCAUCCUCGAUUCGGCUAUUAGUACCACAACAGCGGCAAAACCGC